AGAGUUUGAUCCUGGCUCAGACGAACGCUGGCGGCGUGCUUAACACAUGCAAGUCGGACGGGGUAUGCGAGGAGCUUGCUUUGAGCAUACUUAAGUGGCGGACGGGUGAGUAACGCGUGAGGAUCUGUCCUAUACAGGGGGACAACAGAUGGAAACGUCUGCUAAUACCACAUAAGCCUAAGGGUAAAAGGAGAGAUUCGGUAUAGGAGGAACUCGCGUCCUAUCAGCUAGUAGGUGAGGUAACGGCUCACCUAGGCGAAGACGGGUAGCCGGCCUGAGAGGGCGAACGGCACACUGGAACUGAGAUACGGUCCAGACUCCUACGGGAGGCAGCAGUGGGGAAUAUUUGGGCAAUGGGGGAAACCCUGACCCAGCGACGUCGCGUGAGUGAAGAAAUCCCUCGGGAUGUCAAGCUCUGUUGUAACGGGAAGAGAAGCAGACGGUACCGUACGAGGAAGCCCCCGGCAAAACUUACGGUUGCCCCAAGCAAGGGCCCCCGGCGGGUAAUACGUAAGGGGGCAAGCGUUGUCCGGAAUUACUGGGCGUAAAGCAGCACGCAGGCGGCCAUCAGUCGGUUGUAAAAGGCAGUGGCUCAAUACUGUAAAGAAGGGCGAUACUUGAUUGAGCUAAGAGUAUUGUGAGAGGG
rnacentral:rRNA from 1 species